GGGUGACAGCGGGAGGGC
rnacentral:misc_RNA from 1 species